CCCAAAACUCCGAAUAUUUUUAUUGAUUUUUUUCUGGGGGAAAAAAAAGAAAAAAAAUCCAUUGCCUAUUUUAGAGAAAUAGCAUUUAUUGAAAUAAUUAUUACUUAUUCUCUGAAAACUACACUUCCUCUACCAAUCUACAACAUGGCACAGGAACAAUAAAAGAUCAGCAGCCAUUAAGGUACUGCAACAAAGCAAAAUUUUUCUGCAGGUCUUAAAUCAGUCUGAAAUGUGUAGUGCAACAAUGAUAUGUCACAUAAUUGGUCCAAGACUUUGAUACCUAUUUCAAAUAAUUCAUUGCUAAUUGAACUUUUACUUUCCCAAAUAAAUCUUCCUUGGAUUAACAGUGUCACCAUUCAGUGGAUGUGCACAUAACUGUAUGCACAUAUACACAUAUGCAAGUGUAUCUGCGGAUGCACACAAACAAAACCAAAUUUCAACAUAUUUUAGUAAACAUCUUUUUUUUUUUCCCCUUGAUUUUUAGGGCCUUUUAACAGAAGUCAUACAGAUACUUUAUCUGUGACAUGCUUUUGAAAUAGAACAAGUGUUUCUGCAGUCCUUAGAUCCAAUAAAAAUACAAAAAACAUUUUCUUCACUGACAUAUUCACUUCAGUGCUCAACACCCUUCCACUGCUCCAUUUAUUCCAUUAGUGUAGGGGCUUAAAUGACGCAUGAGGCUUUCAGCAGUGAGGUGAAUGCCAUUUUUAAGAACCCAGUAAAAAGAAACAAAACAGCAACCAUAACUCAAUACUGAAAAAUAUUUGCAACUAAAAGUACAACUGUAAACAGUACAUUCAAGUCCAGCCUCAGACAGAAAGUAAAGUAAUUUCUCCUGGUGGCAUUUUGCCCUGAUUCAAAUUGGCAUUUAAGAACAUACUUAUUAACACUAAGCACAGCCUUUAGUCAAUACAACUUAAGUUCAGGCUUAUACACUUUCUUGAGCCAGGGCCUCAAUUAUUAGAAAAGGCUCAAUUACAAAUUAAAGGUAGCAAAACUGUCAAUAGCGCACUGGAAAAAUUAAAAUCUACAAACUCGUUUCAGAUUCAGCAACUGGUCAAAUACAGUAAGUGCAAUGUCUCAAAGACUAAAUCUGCUUUGUCAGUGCUACAUUCCAGAAGAAUAAAUAGAAAACACUAUAAAGUAUUUGAGUUUGAUCUCAUUUUCCCUGUACUUCCUAGCGGAGUUGCCAGAUACAUUGAGUCAUUUGUCUAGUUACUUCAAUCAAAUAAAUUAUUUUUUCCAAUUAAGCUGUUCAAUGCAAUCAAGAACAGAAAUAAAUGAUGUGAGAAAUACGGCACCUGUGACUACCAAAUAUAGAAGAGGAGAUAAAUGAGCAUACUGCUUCUGUAUGCAAAGAAAUUCAGUAGCAACAUAAAGCAUCCCCAAAACUAUCCAUUGGAAAAAAUCCAAUCUCAUUGAUGCCGAUUAAAUUGAUUUUUUUCCUGUUAAAUUUUAAGGAAUUAAGAGACUAUUUAAAACAAUUUCUAAUAAACAAGAAAUACUUUAAAAUUGUCUCCUACCCAGAAGUCUGGCCAAUUCCAAUCAAACUUGAGGAACACUAAAGGUGUCAGUAAGUUCUUAAAAGGCUGGUGAAAACCUGUGGGAGACUGGUUAAUCACGCCACAAAAGGGACAGCAACAAAAUAAAGCAGAUGCUGUUAUUAAUGCCUCCCCUGAAGGAAAGGUGCAGUGUGAGC
ensembl:lncRNA